GGGCGAUUGGUCUAGCGGUUAUGACGUCUCGUUUACAUUGCAAGUGAACAUAGAAGCCGAGAAGGUCCCGAGUUCGACCCUCGGAUUGCCCU